CUUUUAUGGAGAGUUUGAUCCUGGCUCAGAGUGAACGCUGGCGGCGUGCCUAAUACAUGCAAGUCGAACGAUGAAGCUUCUAGCUUGCUAGAAUGCUGAUUAGUGGCGCACGGGUGAGUAACGCAUAGGUCAUGUGCCUCUUAGUUUGGGAUAGCCAUUGGAAACGAUGAUUAAUACCAGAUACUCCCUACGGGGGAAAGAUUUAUCGCUAAGAGAUCAGCCUAUGUCCUAUCAGCUUGUUGGUAAGGUAAUGGCUUACCAAGGCUAUGACGGGUAUCCGGCCUGAGAGGGUGAACGGACACACUGGAACUGAGACACGGUCCAGACUCCUACGGGAGGCAGCAGUAGGGAAUAUUGCUCAAUGGGGGAAACCCUGAAGCAGCAACGCCGCGUGGAGGAUGAAGGUUUUAGGAUUGUAAACUCCUUUUGUUAGAGAAGAUAAUGACGGUAUCUAACGAAUAAGCACCGGCUAACUCCGUGCCAGCAGCCGCGGUAAUACGGAGGGUGCAAGCGUUACUCGGAAUCACUGGGCGUAAAGAGCGCGUAGGCGGGAUAGUCAGUCAGGUGUGAAAUCCUAUGGCUUAACCAUAGAACUGCAUUUGAAACUACUAUUCUAGAGUGUGGGAGAGGUAGGUGGAAUUCUUGGUGUAGGGGUAAAAUCCGUAGAGAUCAAGAGGAAUACUCAUUGCGAAGGCGACCUGCUGGAACAUUACUGACGCUGAUUGCGCGAAAGCGUGGGGAGCAAACAGGAUUAGAUACCCUGGUAGUCCACGCCCUAAACGAUGGAUGCUAGUUGUUGGAGGGCUUAGUCUCUCCAGUAAUGCAGCUAACGCAUUAAGCAUCCCGCCUGGGGAGUACGGUCGCAAGAUUAAAACUCAAAGGAAUAGACGGGGACCCGCACAAGCGGUGGAGCAUGUGGUUUAAUUCGAAGAUACACGAAGAACCUUACCUAGGCUUGACAUUGAGAGAAUCCGCUAGAAAUAGUGGAGUGUCUGGCUUGCCAGACCUUGAAAACAGGUGCUGCACGGCUGUCGUCAGCUCGUGUCGUGAGAUGUUGGGUUAAGUCCCGCAACGAGCGCAACCCCCUUUCUUAGUUGCUAACAGGUCAUGCUGAGAACUCUAAGGAUACUGCCUCCGUAAGGAGGAGGAAGGUGGGGACGACGUCAAGUCAUCAUGGCCCUUACGCCUAGGGCUACACACGUGCUACAAUGGGGUGCACAAAGAGAAGCAAUACUGCGAAGUGGAGCCAAUCUUCAAAACACCUCUCAGUUCGGAUUGUAGGCUGCAACUCGCCUGCAUGAAGCUGGAAUCGCUAGUAAUCGCAAAUCAGCCAUGUUGCGGUGAAUACGUUCCCGGGUCUUGUACUCACCGCCCGUCACACCAUGGGAGUUGUGUUUGCCUUAAGUCAGGAUGCUAAAUUAGCUACUGCCCACGGCACACACAGCGACUGGGGUGAAGUCGUAACAAGGUAACCGUAGGUGAACCUGCGGUUGGAUCACCUCCUUUCU
rnacentral:rRNA from 1 species